ensembl:lncRNA
CCAUCUAACCCUGCCCUCUGUCUGUUUGAAGCCAUUCCCUUGUCCUGCCCCUCCAGUCCAUUGUAAAUGGUCUCUCUCCAUCUUUCCUGUGGGCUCCCUUCAGGUGCUGGGGUUCAAGCUCUGGGUCUUUCUGCCCACCCCAAAUGCUUCAGCUUCUUUCUUAGAGGAGUGUUGGGGUGCUGGGUGGCUGCAACUGAAAGGGCUGGGUGAACACCUCUGCAGGCUCUGGGCUGUGAAGCAGAAGUUGAUUUUCCUGCUCUUUGGUUGUUGGCCUUGUGGAGAUUCCCAGAGGAAGGCAGGGGGUGGAACAACCCUGGACCCCCAGUUUGGAGCUGACAGACAAAGUCCUGCCAGGGACACUCCAGUGCCUCAGAUCCUUCCCUGCUCCCAGGCAGCCCUGGCUGUGUGGCUCCUGCAAUGAACUCAUCACAUGAGAAAGCUCUUACCCAGCUCUGAAUAUUUUAGCAACAACAUACAAAUGUUCUGGGUCAUUCUUGCCUGCACAGCUGCUCGUGCAUUUAAGGGAACGGGGAAGAACAUCGCAGCUCUGUAUUAAAACUCUUUUUAUUUCUUCCUGUCCUAGGGAACAUCUGUCUGCCAGGCUAUUCUGGUGGGAUCUGUAGUGGCCCUCCUGUAUUCCUCAAGGGCUUGCUAUAACCUGGUAGCUGUGGCCAUAUCUCCAGACAAUGUUCCUGGUCCUUUUAACUAUGGCUGGGACAACCUUUCAGACAAGGUGCACGUGGAGGUGAGCAGUGAGGAGUACGUGGUGUUUGGAGUAGUCCUGUUCCUCUGGGAGCUGGUGCCAACCACUUUUGAGUGCUGUUCUUCCGCGCUCAGAGACUGAGCCAGAACCUGGUAGGCCUGAGCAAGUCCCCCUGUGCUGGGAGGAUGCCUGGGAUGACUUUUGGGGAAUGUUUUGCUUCUGGCCUAACUCCUUUCUCCUUGGCAGACUCCAGCAGGGAUGGUCAACAGCCACAGCUACAGCUCCAGGGCCUAUUUCUUUGACAAUCCCAGGCGCUACGACAGCGACGAUGACUUGUCACGCCUCGGGGCCAGGGAAGGAGGCUUGGCCACCCCUCAGUGCUCGGGCUGCUACGGUUCCCUGGCUGGCACCGACGGCGCCGCGGACAGCGCGCCCUUGCUCUGCGCCGCCGGCGGCUCGGAGAUCAACCAGCACCAGCACAGCUCCCACCCUGCCCCACACAACUGAGGAGGCUCCCUCUGUUCCCAGAGUGGCACUCAUGUAUAGGAUUGUAACCUGGUUUUUCCUCUUUUCCUCCUCUCCCCCUGAAGCAUCUAACUCAUGACACAAACAUUCCACUACCUGCUGCAGCCGCGCGGGACCGAGCCCAGGGCUGCAGGCACUUCAGUCUGAGAACUGUGACUUUAAGGUACCAUGUAGCAAAGUGAAGCUGAACUCUCUGGAAGCUUUUUUUUUUUUUUUUUCCUCUUGGUCUGGUCUUCAAGAUGUUGGCAGCUAAAUGCACCAGAGCUUCCUCACUAGAAAAGAAACAUCAAAUGCAUAUUUGCACUUUUAUCUGCACACUUGGAAGGAACGAAUCUCUCUCGGGCCGUGCUUGGCCUGAGACUGUUCUAGUUACUGUUUUAAUUGCACAUCCAGAGCUGGGAGAGGCACUGUCUUCUGCAAAGACGUGUUCCCUGAAGGACUCUGCACCCCUGGGAGCAGGGAGCUCUGUCUGGGCAGGGCCCCUGGUGCUGGAUGCUGGAGUUUUCUGUGCCAUAUUCCCACCUGGCAGGGCUGGGUGAGGCCCUGGGGCUCGGGGGGGUCUUGCCCUGCCUGCUGGUCCCACCUGGCUGCUGCCCUGUCCUCCCUGGGCCUGUGGCUCAGAGCUGAGGGAGGUCCCUGUUGCUGCUGGCCCGUGGCAGAGGGACAGGGCUGGCUUGUCCCUGCAGGGAGAGGCUGGAGCUGGCUCAGCAGGAGUGUGUGUGCAGGAAUGUGUGUGAAUCCAGGGCUGCUGCACCCCCUGGGUGCUGGGAGCAGCCCUGCUCCCCCUCCUCCUUGCCCACAGUGGGGCUCCCCUCGUCCCUCUCAGUAUUAAAUUGCAUUUAGCAGAUAACCAAGAGUUUUAACCUGAAGUGAAUGUGAACUGCUGGGUCCCCACUGAGGUGCAGGGGGUGUGUGGCUGCCUGUGGAACGUUGCUGUUGCUGAAGGACGGGGCAGAAACCACAGGGAUCUGAUCCUUGGGCUCCUUACUCUGCCCUCCCCGUGGACCUGGGGCCUCCCAGGGUGGGAGUGCUGGGCCAGGCUGGGCCAGGUCCCUCUGUCUUUCCUUAACCAAAAUAGCCAAGUUUCACCCAGCCUGGGCUCUUUGGAGAUGAGGCUUGGUGUUAUUCCUGGCUUGUCCCUGAGCCAGCUGUGGGGAUGAGCAGAGCAGCUUUGGAUAAAGGCUCUGGUGCAGGGAGGGAGCUGCUCUGACCAUGGGGCACAUCCACCCUGGGACUGCUUUUAACCUGCCUGGUGCUGCUCCAGCCCUGGUGUGACACUGGGGGACAGGGAAUGCUGUGCUGGGACAACACCUGGGAGCUGUGAGAGCAACCCCAGCCCUGGGGCAUCCUCUCCUCACCAGCCUGAUCCCCUCUCCCCUGGGGCUGUGCUGAGCUCGGUGUCACUUGUCUGUCCCUGUGCUCUCCCUGCUCACCUCCUGCUGGCCCAAAAAAAGCAGUGAGUCCUGCUUCUCUUUUGGAGAAGGCAAAGAUGGGAGCUCUCAGCACAGCCCUUGCUGCAGUCCCUGACCCAGAGCUCCACCCCAGCUGCUCCCCUGCCUCCUGGCAGGAACAGGCUGCUCCAUCUCAAUCCCUGCUUGGCUUAUGGCAAAGCUGGUGAAGGGCCAGGCACUGUCACCCUUCCUUCUGCUCCCAUAAGCCUCCAAAGACAGCAAGUGACACUCGUGGCCCCUGUUCUUGCUUAAAUUCCAAAGCACUAGGAGCACUUUAAGUUUUACUUUGGAGGGAAAGGAGUGUAGUGCAAAAAAAAAAAAAAAAAAAAAAAAAUUUAAAAAAAACCUACAAAAUCCAAGGGCUACAGGCUCAUUGUUCCUCUUGCACUGAAGCACACAGCCACACUAUGAUCUUCCUGGGUUUUUGGGAGGGCAGGUCAGGGCAGUGAGCCUCGUUGCUGAUGGGCCCCUGAGCGAGUGGCCAAGUUUGGGUUUUCUCCUCUGUCCGGACUGACAGCUCCUGCUGGGGCUGGUCCUGUGUUUUACUGAAGUCAUUUAUAGCUCAGAAGUUACAAGGAGUUUUUUAAUGCAUAGUUGCCUUUCAUUAAACUUUCUUUUGGUUUUGUUGUUUUUUUUUUUUUGGGGUUGUUUUGGAUUUUUUUUUUGUAUGGUUUAACAGUGUUCUGGCUUUGCAGGUGGGCAGCAGCUGCUGCCCCAGGAGCUGUGGCCAAUGAAUGUACCUAUUUGUUCUUCACUAAACUGUAACCAAGCACUACUCUGUUGAAAUAAAUUUAAAAAAAAACCAAAAACCAAGGACUUUCUGUGCUGGGAUGGCUCCCAGGGUGACCCAGCCUGUGGUCCCCUGUGCCCUGCCUGGACCUGGCACAUCCAAUUGCUCUGUGAGCUCUGGGAUGGGCUCUGAGGGCUGGGCUGGGGGUGGCACAGGGGGUUUAUUUUAUCUUCUGGUGUUUCUCUGGUUUCAGCCCUGAGGGAACAGCUGGAGCUGUGCCAGGGCAGGGUCAGGUGCAAAUCAGGGAAAGGUUCUGCUCCCAGAGGGUGCUGGGCACUGCCCAGGCUGCCCAGGGAAGGGGCACAGCCCCGAGGCUGCCAGGGAUGCCCAGGGUGGGGUUGCUGGGGGUCUGGGCAGGGCCUGGAGCUGGGCUGGGCACUCUGUGACCCUUGUGGAGCCCUCCCAGCUCAGGGAGGCUCUGCCAUGAGUCUGUCUCCAUCUAGUGAGGUGCAAUGUGCUCAAACCAGUGUCCCAAGAGACACUUCUGGCCACGGGCUCUGCUUUGUCCUUCCCAGGACUGGCUCCCCCAGCCCCAGCAGCACCUCCAGCCCUGGAGAUUCCUUUAUUCCUUCCCCAGCUUCAUCCACACGCCACACAGCCUUGAGCCAAAGAGCAGCAGCUCAGCUGGAGCUCAGGCUGCCUCACUGCUCUCCCCACAUUUCAGGGGGAAAAGCAGAGGGGUUUCCACACAGAUGCAGCCUUGGAGGAGAGGCUGUUUUCCAACAGCACUGCCC